CCUACGGGAGGCAGCAGUGAGGAAUAUUGGUCAAUGGCCGGAAGGCUGAACCAGCCAUGCCGCGUGAAGGUCAGUGCCCUAUGGGCGUUAAACUUCUUUUGUGCGGGAGCAAUAAUGGUCACGUGUGGCCAGACGAGAGUACCGUACGAAUAAGCAUCGACUAACUCCGUGCCAGCAGCCGCGGUAAUACGGGGGAUGCAAGCGUUAUCCGGAUUUAUUGGGUUUAAAGGGUGCGUAGGCUGUGAGGUAAGUCAGCGGUGAAAUGCCCCCGCUCAACGGGGUGAAGUGCCAUUGAUACUGCCUGGCUGGAAUGCGGAUGCCGUGGGAGGAAUGUGUGGUGUAGCGGUGAAAUGCAUAGAUAUCACACAGAACACCGAUCGCGAAGGCAUCUCACGAAUCCGCGAUUGACGCUGAUGCACGAAAGCGUGGGUAUCAAACAGGAUUAGAUACCCCGGUAGUC
rnacentral:rRNA from 1 species